rnacentral:rRNA from 1 species
CCUACGGGGGGCAGCAGUGAGGAAUAUUGGUCAAUGGGCUUACGCCUGAACCAGCCAAGUCGCGUGAGGGAAGACUGCCCUAUGGGUUGUAAACCUCUUUUGUCAGGGAGCAACGCCGGCUACGUGUAGCCGGACUGAGAGUAUCUGAAGAAAAAGCAUCGGCUAACUCCGUGCCAGCAGCCGCGGUAAUACGGAGGAUGCGAGCGUUAUCCGGAUUUAUUGGGUUUAAAGGGUGCGUAGGCGGAAUGCCAAGUCAGCGGUAAAAUCGCGGGGCUCAACCUCGCUCCGCCGUUGAAACUGGCGGGCUGGAGUUGGAGAGAAGUACGCGGAAUGCGCGGUGUAGCGGUGAAAUGCUUAGAUAUCGCGCAGAACCCCGAUUGCGAAGGCAGCGUACCGGCUCCACACUGACGCUGAGGCACGAAAGCGUGGGUAUCGAACAGGAUUAGAUACCCGAGUAGUC